rnacentral:rRNA from 1 species
GGGGUCAGUAGGUUGGUCGUGCCACCGGUACGUACUGGUCUCACUGAUUCCUCCUUCCUGAAUAACCGUAAUGCCAUUAAUUUGGUGUUGCGGGGAAACAGGACUGUUACUUUGAAAAAAUUAGAGUGUUUAAAGCAAGCUAACGCUUGAAUACAUUAGCAUGGAAUAAUGAAAUAGGACGAUCGAUCCUAUUUUGUUGGUUUCUAGGAUUGACGUA